rnacentral:rRNA from 1 species
AGUGAACGCUGGCGGUAGGCCUAACACAUGCAAGUCGAACGGCAGCACAGUAAGAGCUUGCUCUUACGGGUGGCGAGUGGCGGACGGGUGAGGAAUACAUCGGAAUCUACUUUUUCGUGGGGGAUAACGUAGGGAAACUUACGCUAAUACCGCAUACGACCUACGGGUGAAAGCAGGGGAUCUUCGGACCUUGCGCGAUUGAAUGAGCCGAUGUCGGAUUAGCUAGUUGGCGGGGUAAAGGCCCACCAAGGCGACGAUCCGUAGCUGGUCUGAGAGGAUGAUCAGCCACACUGGAACUGAGACACGGUCCAGACUCCUACGGGAGGCAGCAGUGGGGAAUAUUGGACAAUGGGCGCAAGCCUGAUCCAGACAUACCGCGUGGGUGAAGAAGGCCUUCGGGUUGUAAAGCCCUUCUGUUGGGAAAGAAAAGCAGCAGGUUAAUACCCAGCUGUUCUGACGGUACCCAAAGAAUAAGCACCGGCUAACUUCGUG